rfam:Triticum urartu cultivar G1812 contig477985, whole genome shotgun sequence.
UGUUUGCUGUGAUGAAUCACAAGGACGGUAUCUGAGCGAGGUGGCUCUUGAAAAAGGGCCUUCUUCCUUGAUUACACACCCUUAACUGAUCAUAAAUUCUGAGCAAACG